UCAAGAAACUUCCACAAUGGGCGAAAGCCUGAUGGAGCGACGUCGCGUGAUGGACGAAGUGCUUCGGCACGUAAACAUCUUUUAUGUGGGAUGAAAUUAUUGACAGUACCACAUGAAUAAGGGGCUCCUAACUCUGUGCCAGCAGGAGCGGUAAUACAGAGGCCCCAAGCGUUAUCCGGAAUCACUGGGCGUAAAGGGUGUCGAGGCGGUUGUAUUAGUCGUUCGUAAAAUCUACGAGCUUAACUUGUAGGCGGCGAACGAAACGGUACGACUUGAGGUUUGGAGAGGUGCGUGGAACUCACGGUGUAGGGGUGAAAUCCGUUGAUAUCGUGGGGAACACCAAAGGCGAAGGCAGUGCACUGGUACGUUCCUGACGCUCAAACACGAAAGCCAGGGU
rnacentral:rRNA from 1 species